rnacentral:piRNA from 1 species
UGUCUGGGCAGACGCUUGUGAGUAUGU